rnacentral:rRNA from 1 species
GAUUAUGGCUCAGGACGAACGCUGGCGGCGUGCCUAACACAUGCAAGUCGAACGGGGUUAUGUUUUCGGAUAUAACCUAGUGGCGAACGGGUGAGUAACGCGUGAACAACCUGACCUUUUGAGGGGGAUAACACUUGGAAACAGGUGCUAAUACCGCAUAAGACCACGACCCGGCAUCGGGAUGAGGUCAAAGGAGCAAUCCGCAGAAGGAGGGGUUCGCGUCCCAUUAGAUAGUUGGCGGGGUAAAGGCCCACCAAGUCCGCGAUGGGUAGCCGGGCUGAGAGGCUGAUCGGCCACACUGGAACUGAGACACGGUCCAGACUCCUACGGGAGGCAGCAGUGGGGAAUAUUGGGCAAUGGGCGCAAGCCUGACCCAGCAACGCCGCGUGAGGGAAGAAGGCCUUCGGGUUGUAAACCUCUGUCCUUGGUGACGAAACAAAUGACGGUAGCCAAGGAGGAAGCCCCGGCUAACUACGUGCCAGCAGCUGC